UGGCAAAUUUUAUUUUUUUCAUCUUGUUGCAAAAUUGUUUAUGGAAAGAUUUCAUUUAAAUAGAAGUGGAAGAUUUAUUUAUAGCAAAAUUUGUGACAAGUGAAAAACGUGUAUAGAAAAGAAGAGGGGCCCUUGUGUGGACCUUUGGUAGGGGUUUUCAGGCCCCAAGUCAUAGAAUUGUAGAGUGGGACUACUUUGAAGAGGGGAAAAGGGGGCAUAAUUGGUUAAACUCCUCACUAC